rnacentral:misc_RNA from 1 species
GAUGAAGAACGCAGCGAAAUGCGAUAAGUAGUGUGAAUUGCAGAAUUCAGUGAAUCAUCGAAUCUUUGAACGCACAUUGCGCCCCUUGGUAUCCCGAGGGGCAUGCCUGUUCGAGCGUCAUUUCACCACUCAAGCCUGGCUUGGUGUUGAGCGACGUCCUCUUUGGGGACGCGCCUCGAAACGCUCGGCGGCGUGGCACCGGCUUUAAGCGUAGCAGAAUCUUUCGCUUUGGAAGUCGGGGCCCCGUCUGCCGGAAGACCUGCUCGCAAGGUUGACCUCGGAUCAGGCAGGGAUACCCGCUGAACUUAAGCAUAUCAAUAAGCGGAGGA